UACGUAGGGGGCAAGCGUUGUCCGGAAUCAUUGGGCGUAAAGAGCGUGUAGGCGGUUCGGUAAGUCGGCUGUGAAAGUCCAGGGCUCAACCCUGGGAUGCCGGUCGAUACUGCCGGACUAGAGUUCGGAAGAGGCGAGUGGAAUUCCCGGUGUAGCGGUGAAAUGUGUAGAUAUCGAGAGGAACACCUGAGGUGAAGACGGGUUGCUGGGCCGACACUGACGCUGAUGCGCGAAAGCCAGGGGAGCGAACGGG
rnacentral:rRNA from 1 species